UUUCCCUGAGGUCAGAAGUUUCUGGUGAUGUAACAUACAAUACAGACUAAGCCUUCACUUAUCAAGGUUAAAGUUGACGGAGCUUGUAUGAACUUGUCAAUCAUAGGAAGCAGGCAAAAACAAGCCAGCUGUUGUGAGGCAUGGCUUUGAAAAUCCUCUGUGUUACAGUAAAUGAGACGCAGAGGUUGAGACAGAUUCAGUUCUGCGAGGCUUUCAAACUGGCUGGCACGUUUGCAAGGAUGCAAAGCUCAGAUAUCCAGUGAAUAUGGGUAAAAAGCUGUAAAUCCUGGUUCUUGCCACUGUGUUCUCCUGGGGCUUGAAGCUUGCUUUCUUUUCCUCCUUUCUGGACAUUUUGGAAGGUGACA